CUUGAUAGCCCCUUACAUCCGCUAUCCGCCCGGGUACUACGAGCACUAGCUUAAAACCCAAAGGACUUGGCGGUGCUUUAGAUCCACCUAGAGGAGCCUGUUCUAGAACCGAUAACCCCCGUUAAACCUCACCCUCUCUUGUCCUUCCCGUCUAUAUACCGCCGUCGUCAGCUUACCCUAUGAAGGAACUACAGUAAGCAAGACUAACAUAACUCAAAACGCCAGGUCGAGGUGUAGCAUAUGAGAGGGGAAGAAAUGGGCUACAUUCCCUACCAUAGGGAAUACGAACAAUAUAAUGAAAUGUAUGUUAGAAGGAGGAUUUAGCAGUAAGCAGAAAAUAGAGCG
rnacentral:rRNA from 1 species